CGGUUUGCUACAUCGACGUCGGCUCUUCCCAUCCUGGGGGUGCAGCAGCCCCCAAGGGUGGGGCUGCCCGCCCAUUAAAGGGGAACGUGAGCUGGGUUUAGACCGUCGUGAGACAGGUCGGACUCUACCCACGGGGGGUGCAGGCCGCCUGAGGGGAAGGUGACCUCAGUACGAGAGGAACGGGUCGCCGCGGCCUCUGGUGUAGCGGUCAUCCGGUAGGGUGUAUGCCGCGUAGCUACGCCGUAGGGGGUAACCGCUGAAAGCAUCUAAGCGGGAACCCCUCCCCGAAAAGAGGCGGCCGUUCCCAGGCAUCUGCCUGGGAGGAGGGCUCCCGUAGAAGACGGGGUCGAUGGGGCGGGGGUGAAUGCCUCGAGGAG
rnacentral:rRNA from 1 species